UGAUCCUGCCACGCAAGAAUGGCCAGAAACCUUACGCGUAGCUCUUGAAGCUAGGUGCACGCUGCAAUCACUUGGGAAAAAUUUUAAAUCUCCCUAUCCAGGCCACUCCCAUACAAAUUACACCAGAAUUCUGGGGGGUGGAGCCCGGUUACCAGAAUGUUUCAGUUCCCCAAAUUAUUUCAAUGUGUGGCCAAGGUUGAAAAGCACCACGUGAGUGGCUCUGCUGUACAGGGGACCCUCUGGAGAGGGGGAUCAGCACAACUGCUGCCUCGGUCCCUCUGCACCCUGCCCAAGGUCCUGGCUCCACAUCUUGGGCAAGAAGCAAAACGUCCAGCCUAAAGCUCUCCCAACUGCAGAGGCGCAUGCUGGGGAUCUGCUGGGGACCGUGGAGACUCAGCCAGGUUUGACUGACAGGUUUGUCCCAGGAGCCCAAACGCCUUGCCCAUUCGUGAUCACUCCAAAACCGCAGGCCGCAGCUGCCAGGCCGAUGUGCAGGACAGCACCACCUCACUUCCAGGAAGAGCUCAUGGGAGUGAGCCAGGCACAAUGGGAUCGCUGUGAAAACGCAAUGCAGGAGGUAAGGAUUCGAGAAGGGGGAAUGUGUAUGUUUCAUGUAAUCCAUUCUGAUGCCAAAGAGCCAGGGCUUAGCGGGAGGUAACUGUUUGGGGAGGUUGAUGCAUAGAGCUCUAGGCUGGAAAUGACAGCUAGGCUACACAUCCCCUACUCUGGGUCCCCCGAGUUUCCAUUCAUUCUUCCUCAGAGCGGACUGCCAAAUCCUAACCCAGAACGCCUUCUUGGGGAAGGACAGGAAAGCCCGCAUGGGACUCCGCUUUGCAGCCCAGGAUCAGGCCCACUUCAGUAAAUGCCAGCACUGAGCAGAAACUCAGCCCCUGAUGCCAGGCUGGCACCCACAGAGGAAGCCUCUCAACCUGCCCCACACCGGAAGGGAAACUGCGGCCCUGUAGCACAGACCUGUGUUCGGGCCGCAUCACUGCGGCUGCAGCCGUCACAGGCCUCAGAUAAACCUCAGCUCCAGGCAGGCGCUGGCACCCACAGGCCUCGGGCACUGGGCUGGUCUCACGGCAGUGGACUCUGGGUGUGACCCAGUAUUGUGUCAGCCUCGGUGGCCAUAGGGUUACCCGUGCACCCCUCCCCCAACCCCAGCACAGCAGCAUGAAGAGAGACACUGUUUGCUUAGGGAAAAAGAGGUAGGUUGAGGACUUUGCCUGGGAACGCAGUACUAGGUUCACUACAGUAAAACCCAGUACUGGGCAGAGCCUCAGCUCCCUGAUACUAGACCAGUACCCACAGGCAGAUCUCACGCCACCCUAGUGCCAGAUGACAACACGCACCCCAGCGACAGGGACUUGGGGUCUGGCCCACAUCACCACCUACCAGCUACAGGGACCUUGGGUGCUGAAUAAACCUCAGCAGUAGCAGGCAAGCCAUCGCAGCCAUGGGUCUUGGGCGAGCCCAGUGCUGUGCGGGUCUCAGCAGCCAUGGCCUUCAGGCGUGACCCGGGCUGUGUCGGUCUCAGAGACCAGAGAAUUCCAACCACAGUGAUCCCGGACUUAGGGCAUGCCCUGGCACUACAACAGCUGAUGCAGUCAUGGGCUUAGGGUCCUGAGCAAUCAGCCUCUCCUUAAUCUCGGAUGAAAGAAGAGCCCAAACAAAGCCGCAUGAUGAAGACUGGCUUCGGUACCUGUGUCAAUGCACGGACAUUGGCACACAGCCCUAAGAAGCAAGAUCAGUCAGAGGAACAUGACAUCGCUAAAUGAACAAAUUAGGGUUCCAUGACUAACCCCAGAGAUUCAGAGCUGAGGCCUGGCACGGUGGCUCAGGCCUGUAAUCCCAGCGCUUAGGAAGGCCGAGGCGGGAGGAUCACUUGAGCCCAGGAGUUCAAGAUCAGCCUGGGAAACAUAGUAAGAUGCUAUCUCUACAAAAAAAAAAAAAUCAAAAAACUUUAGAUGGGCAUAGUGGUGCACGCCUGUGGUCCCAAAAUGCUCAGGAGACCGCUUGAGGCCAGGAGUUCGAGGCCGCAGUGAACUAUGAUUGUGCCACUGCACUCCAGCCUGGGCAACAGAAUGAAACCUUGUAUCUAAAUAAAUAAGAUGUAAUAAAAUAAAGUGAUAAUAUGGGUAACAUCUAAGCACUAUUUCUUAUAAAAGGUGAAAGUCUUUUAUAUGUACUGUCUUCCUAUCCUUACACAGCCAUGUGAAUUAAUUACUGUUAUAUACCCAUUGGACAGAUGAGAAAACUGAGAAAGAAGUGAGUGCCUUUCCCAAGGUCACCCAACUGGCAAGUGACGGGCCAGAUGUGGACAAGUGGGACAGGGUUUAAGUCCAGCUGCCAUGCUGCUCGAGUGAGGAAUCAACUCAGGACCAGUGGGCAUGUAAAUUAGUGGAGCCAUGAUGGAAAACAGUACGGAGACUCCUUAAAAACCUAGAAAUAGCUGUAUCAUCUGAUCCAGUAAUCCCACUGCUGAAUAUGCAAAGGAAAGGGAAUCGGUGUGUUGAAGACACAUCCGCACUCUCUUGUUUAUUGUGGCCCUGCUCAUAACAGCUGACAUAUGGAAUCAACCUGUCUGUCAAAAGACGAAUGGAUAAAAAAGGUGGACUAUACAAAUACAAUGGAAUGCACUUUAGCCACUAAAAGAGAAUGAAACCCUGUCACUCACAUCAACACGGAUGAGCCUGGAGAACGUUACAUUAAGUGAAAUAACCUGGGAGCAGAAAGAUAAACGCCACAUGUUCAUACUCACAUGUGACAACUAAAAAAGCUUAUCUCCUAGAAACAGAGAACGGAAAGCCAGCCACAGUGGCUCACACCCGUAAUCCCAGGCUGAGACAGGAGGAGAGCUUGAAGCCAGGAGUUCAAGACCUGUCUAGGCAACAUAGCAAGACCCUGUUUCUAAAAAUAAAAAUAAAAUUAGUCUGGCAUGGAGGCAUGUACCUGUAGUCCCAGUGACUUGGGAGACUGAGGCAGGAGGAUGAGUUGAGCCCAGGAGUUUGAGGCCACAGUGAGUUUUGCUAGUGCCACAGCACUCCAGCCUAGAAACAGAGUAAGAUCCUGUCCCUCUUUUAUUUUCUUUUUUGAAAUGGAGUUUCACUCUUUUUGCCCAGGCUGGAGUGCAAUGGUGUGAUCUCAGCUCACUGAUCUCAGCUCACUGCAACCUCCAUCUCCUGGGUUCAAGUGAUUGUUGUACACCCAGUAUUGCAAUCUAGUUUUUAGAACAUUUUCCAUCACCCACAAAAGAAAACUUAGGUUUCGCUGUUGUUACCCAGGCUGGAGUGCAAUGGCGCGAUCUCAGCUCACCGCAACCUCCGCCUCCUGGGUUCAGGCAAUUCUCCUGCCUCAGCCUCCUGUGUAGCUGGGAUUACAGGUGCACACCACAAUACGCAGCUGUGUAUUUUUAGUAGAGACGGGGUUUCACCAAGUUGGCGAGGCUGGUCUUGAACUCCUGACCUCAAGCGAUCCACUGAUAUCAGCCUCCCAAAGUGCUGGGAUUACAGGCAUGACCCACCGCUCCCGGCCUGACCCUGUCUCUCUUUUUUUAUUUUUAUUUUUUAAAAAGAUGGGAUGGCCAGGCUGGUCUUGAACUCCUGACCUCAGGUGAUCCACCCACCUAGGCCUCCCAAAGUGCUGAGAUUACAGGCAUGAGUCACCACUCCAAGCCUGACCCUGUCUCUUAAAAAAGCAUUCAUUGUGUCCAGCCUGGCCAACAUGGUGAAACCCCGUCUCUACUAAUAAUAUGAAAAAUGAGCUGGGCAUGGUGUCCAGCACCUGUAGUUCCAGCUAGUUGGGAGACUGAGGCAGGAGAAUUGCUUGAAUCUGGGAGGAGGAGAUUGCAGUGAGCCGGUAUCACGCCACUGCACUCCAGCCUGGGAGACAGAGAAACACUCUGUCUCAAAAAAAAAAAUCAAAAGACCAACAAAACAAAAAGUUGGUUUUUUGAAAAGAUAAACAAAAUAAAAAACUCUUUAGUUAAACUAAGAAGAGAAAAAGACUCAAAUAAAUAAAUCAGAGCCAAAAAGGAGAAAUUACACCUGAUACCACAGAGGUACAAAGAAUUAUUAGAGGCCAGGCGUGGUGGGUCAUGCCUGUUAUCCCAACACUUUGGGAGGCCAAGGUGGGUGGAUCACCUGAGGUCAGGAGUUCAAGACCAGCCUGGCCAACAUGGUGAAACCUAAGUGUCUGUCCAUCUUUACUAAAAACCCAAAAAUUAGCUGGGCGUGGUGGCACACACCUGUAAUCCCAGCUACUCGGGAGGCUGAGGCAGGAGAAUUACUAGAACUCAGGAGGCGGAGGUUGCACUGAGCCGAGAUAGCACCAUUGCACUCUAGUCUAGGCAACAAGAGUAAAACUCCAUCUCAAAACACAAAACAAAACAAAACAAAAACAGCCAAAUCAGGGCAGUGAGCGUCUCUGUCACCUCACACAUUUAUUAUUGAUUUGUGGUAAGAACAUUCAAAACUCUCUUCUAGCUAUUUUGAAAUAUACAGUAUUGUAAACUACAGUCUCUGACAGAACACCUGCCCUUGUUCCUCCUAUCUAACUGUAAUAGUGGUGGCACAUGCCUGUGGUCCCAGCUACUUGGGAGGCUGCGGCAAGAGAAUCACUUGAACCCAGAAGGCAGAGGUUGCAGUGAGCCAAGAUCGCACCACUGCACUCCAGUCUGGACAACAGAGAGAGACUCCAUUUCAGGGGGAAAAAAAAACCAGACCAGGCUCAGUGGCUGACUCUUGUAAUCCCAGCACUUUGGGAGGCUGAGGCAGGUGGAUCACUGAGGUCAAGAGUUUGAGACCAGCCUGGCCAACACAGUGGAACCCCAUCUCUACUAAAAAUAAAAAUAAAAAAUUAGCCAGGCAUGCUGGUGCAUGCCUGUAAACCCAGCUACUUCUAAAGCUGAAGCAGGCACACUUGAACCCAGGAGGUGGAGGUUGCAGUGAGCCAAGAUCGCACCACCGCACUCCAGCCUGGCGACAGAGUGAGACUCCUUCUCAAAAAAAAAAAAAAAGGAUUGUUAGAAACUAUGAUGAUAUCAUGAACAACCAAAUGGUAAACACCUGGAAAACCCAGAAGAAAUGAAUAAAUUCCUGGACACACAGAAUCUAUUCUGAUUGUGCCAUGAAGAAAGAGAAAACCUGAGUAAGGAGACUGUGGCAGUAAUUUAAAUUCUCCCAGCAAAAAAAGCUGGGACCUGAUCGCUUUACUGCUGAAUUCGACCACACAUUUAUUUUUUGUUUUUUGUUUUUUUUGAGACGGAGUUUCGCUCUUGUUACCCAGGCUGGAGUGCAAUGGCGCGAUCUCGGCUCACCGCAACCUCCACCUCCUGGGUUCAGGCAAUUCUCCUGCCUCAGCCUCCUGAGUAGCUGGGACUACAGGCACGCGCCACCAUGCCCAGCUAAUUUUUUGUGUUUUUAGUAGAGAUGGGGUUUCACUAUGUUGACCAAGAUUGUCUCGAUCUCCUGACCUCGUGAUCCACCCGCCUCGGCCUCCCAAAGUGCUGGGAUCACAGGCUUGGGCCACUGCGCCCGGCCACCACACAUUUAAAGGACUAAUACCACUUCUAUUCAAACUUUUCCAAAUAAUUGAAGAGGGGAGAACAUUUUCAAACUCGUAAGGCCAGCAUUACUCUGAUACCAAAACCAGACAAGUCAACGAUGAAAAAAGAAAACUACAGGCCAGUCCCCUGUUGAACAGACAGGAAAAUCCUCAACAUAGUACCACGAAACCAAAUCCCACAGCUACGUCAUCCAUGGUGACCGAGUGGGAGCCGUUACGGGAUUCGAGGACAGUUCAACAUAAGCAGCUCCGCCUGCCUUCCAGAGUGUGCUGUGUCUGAAUAAACCUCGGGGCUGCGACUGCCGCCGCCUUCCAUCCAGGCCAGCUGCUCCUUCUCCAAACGUGCUUUAUCUUCCUCCAAUAAAAUGCUACUUGGCCCUUGUGCCUCUCGGUUGCGUUCUUUCUUCCAAGAAAACAAGAACUGAGGACCCUGCCCUCUCCCGGUAACACGACUAUGGAAAAUAGCAUGGAGGUCCCUUGAAAAACCAAAAGUAGGUAUAACCAUCCGAUCCCGCGAUCUCACGGCUGGAUUUAUACCCCAGAGGAAGGAAAUGAGCGCAUCCAAGGGGUAUCUGCACUUUCGUGUUUACUGCAGCAUUCUUCACAAGACCCAAGACACAGAAUCGACCUCAAUGUCCAUCACAGGGGAAUGGAUAAACUGUGGCACAGGCCGGGCGCGGUGACUCACACCUGUAAUCCCAGCACUUUGGGAGGCCGAGGCAGGUGGAUCACCUGAGGUCAGGGGCUUGAGACCAGCCUGACCAACAUGGCAAAACCCUGCCUCUACUAAAAAUACAAAGUUAGCCAGGCGUGGUGGCACAUGCCUGUAAUUCCAGCUACUUGGGAAGCUGAGGCAAGAGAAUGGCUUGAACCUGGAAGGCAGAGGUUACUAGGAGCCAAACUAGCAACACUGCACUCCAGUCUGGGCGACAAGAUUGAAACUCCCAUCUCAAAAAAGAAAAGAAACUGUUGGCCGGGUGCGAUGGCUCACACCUGUAAUCCCAGCACUUUGGGAGGCCAAGGCAGGUGGAUCACAAGGUCAAGAGAUCAAGACUAUCCUGGCCAACAUGGUUAAACCCCAUCCGUCUCUAUCAAAAAAAAAAACAGCCAGGCAUGGUGGGGUGUGCCUGUAGUCCCAGCUACUCAGGAGGCUGAGGCAGGAAAAUUGCUUGAACCCUGGAGGCGGAGGUUGCAGUGAGCCAAGAUCAUGCCUGGUGACAGUGAGGCUCUGUCUCAAAAAAAAAAAAGAAGAAGAAAAAGAAAAACUGAUAUAUAUACACAGCGGAAUAUUAUUCAGCCAUAAAAAAGUAGCAACAUUCUGCCAUUUGUAGCAACAUCGAUGGAACUGGAGGACAGGAUGUUAAAUGAAAUAAACCAGGCACAGAAAGGCAAAGACCACAUGUUCCCACUCACAGGAGCUAAAUUCCUUGAUUUCAUAAAGGAAGAGAGUAAACAGUGCUUAGCAGAGGCUGGGGAGGGCUGGAGAAGUGGGCUAGGAGAGACCUUCAACGUAUACAAAGUUCCAAUUAGGAGGAAACAGUGCAGGUGUUCCAUUGGAGACUGUAGUUAACAAUAACGUAUAUUUCAAAAUAGCUGGAAGAGAGUUUUGAAUAUUCUUACCACAGAUAAAUAAUAAACGUGUGAGGUGAUAGAUAUGCUAAAUGCCCUGAUUUUGGCUGUUUUGUUUAUUUAUUUUCUUUUAUUUUGUUAAGAUGGAGUUUCACUCCUGUCGCCCAGGCUGGGGUGCAAUGGCGUGAUCUUGGCUCAGUGCAACCUCUGCCUCCCAGGUUCCAGCAAUUCUCCUGCCUCAGCCUGCCAAGUAGCUAGAAUUACAGGUGUCUGCCUCCAUGCCCAGGAAGAAAACGCAUCAGGCAAAGAAAAAAGCAAGUGAAAGGAAACAGAGCUAGGAGACGGAGAAAGAGACAGAAUCCCGAGGCCACCAGCCUAAGCCUCAGCCCCAGCCAGGCCUCAGGCUGCCUGCCCGCCAAGCUUCUGCACUGAGUCAUCUGCAGCUACAAGAAUGCUGGCAAACACUGAUUCUCCUUCUGGGGCUGUACCUGAAGGAAAUGACCAGAGGUGCACACAAAGUCCUGUGUAAGGGACUGUUUCCAAAAUUCACUUUUAUGGCAACCUAUUCUAUUCACGUGUUUUACAAACAAAGGAAAAUAGAAUGUCGAUAAGAAAAAUUACAGCAGUCACGAGUAUUUGAUGAAAUCAUCUAGCCCCAUGUAUUAAAACGUCGAUUCUUUUAAAGAUCUUUUUGUUUCUCCCAUUAAUUAAUGGUAGGUGGGAGAGUGACAUUAGCAAGACAUAAGAAUACUCCAGGCAGGUGCCUGUAAUUCCAGCACUUUGGGAGGCCAAGGCAGGAGGACUGCUUGAGUCCAGGAGUUCGAGACCAACCUAGGCAAUAUAGCAAGACUCCAUAUCUCUACAAAAAAAAAAACUUAAAAAUGAGCCGGGUGUGGUGACGUAUGCCUGUGGCCCUAGUUUCUCAGGAGACUGAGGUUGGAGGAUCACUGAGCUCAAGAGGGCAAGGCUGCAGGGAAGCCAUGCUGAUGCCACUGCAGUGCCGCCUGGGUGACAGAGUGACACUCUGUUCCGAAAAAAAAGAAACAAGUACUGUAGCUCCACUUCCCACCACAGAAUCUAACUAGCAACUAUGUACAGAUGGGCAUAGUCUCCAGAAUAUCCCAGAACACAGGAGGAAUGCUGCCCAGGCUGGACGGAGUGCAAUGGCGCCAUCUCGGCUCACUGCCAUCCCCGCCUCCUGGGUUCAAGUGAUUCUCCUGCCUCAGCCUCCCAAGUAGCUGGGAUUACAGGCGCAUGCCACCACACCUGGCUGAUUGUUUGUAUUUCUAGUAGAGAUGGGUUUUCACCGUGUGGGCCAGGCCGGUCUUGAACUCCUGACCUCAGGUGAUCCACCCGCCUUGGCCUCCCAAAGUGCUGGGAUUACAGGCGUAAGCCACCAUGCCCAGACUGACUUUUGACAAAGGCACGAAGAACAUACCCAGGGGAAAGAACAGUCUAUUCAAUAAAUGGUGCUGGGGAAAGUGGCUAUUCCUAUGCAGAAAUAUCAUUAUUCCCUUAGCUUACACCAUGCCCCAAAAGCAACCCAACAUGGAUCAAAGAGUUAAAUAUUAGGCCUGACACUGCAAAAUUACUCUAAGAAAGCAUAGAGAAAAAGCUCCGUGACAGUGAUCUGGCCAAUGGUUUUUUGGGGAUGUCCCCAAAAACACAGACAGCUAAAGCAAAAUAGACAAACAGGAUGGCCUCAAACUCAAAGUCUUCUGUACAGCAAAAGGAACAAGUAACGAAGUAGAGACAACCCAGGUCGUAAGAAAAAAACUCUGCAAACCAUACGUCAGACAAGACGCUAAUAUCCAGGCCGGGCGCGGUGGCUCACGCCUGUAAUCCCAGCACUUUGGGAGGCUGAGGCGGGUGGAUCCCGAGGUCAAGAGAUCAAGACCAUCCUGGUCAACAUGGUGAAACCCCGUCUCUACUAAAAAUACAAAAAUUAGCUGGGCACGGUGGCGUGUGCCUGUAAUCCCAGCUACUCGGGAGGCUGAGGCAGGAGAAUUGCCUGAACCCAGGAGGCGGAGGUUGCGGUGAGCCGAGAUCGCGCCAUUGCACUCCAGCCUGGGUAACAAGAGCGAAACUCCGUCUCAAAAACAAAACAAAACAAAACAUGGUGAAACCCUGUCUCUACUAAAAAUACAAAAAUUAGCUGGGCGUGGCACCAGGUGCCUGUAAUCCCAGCUACUCAGGAGGCUGAGGCAGGAGAAUUGCCUGAACCCAGGAGGUGAGGUUGUGGUGAGCCGAGAUCGCGCCAUUGCACUCCAGCCUGGGUAGCAAGAGCGAAACUCUGUCUCAAAAAAAAAGAGGCUAAUAUCCAAAAUAUAUAAGGAACUCAAACAACAGCAAAAGAGCAAAGAAGCUCUGGAGCCCAGAGCUGACCAGUGGCAACCUGAAUCUAGGAAAAUGCACAUUAAAACGGCAGUGAGAUACCACCUCACUCUCAUCAGAACAGGUCUUAUGAAAAAGAUGGAAGGUAAGUGUUGGCCAGAAUGUGGAGAAAGGGAAACCCUAGCACACUGCCAGCAUACAGCACAGCCGCCACGGAAAAUGGCAUGGACAUUCCUCAAAAAACUACACAGAACUACUGUAUGAGCCAGCAAUCCCACUUCUGGGAAUACAUCCAAAGGAACUGAAAUCAGGGAUAUCUGUAUUCCCAUGUUCACUGCAGCCCCAUUUACAGUAGCCACAAUGAGGAAUCUGCCUAAAUCAGUCAGGCUAAGAUGAAUGCACUCAGAAAAGGCAGUGCCCAUACACAGUGGCGUACUAUUCAACCUUAAAGAGAACAAAACUUGGCAGGCACAGUGGCUCACAUGUGUAAUCCCAGCACUUUGGGAGGCCGAGAUGGGUGGAUCACCUGAGCUCGAGACAGGCCUGAAAAACAUGGUGAAACCCCAUCUCUACUAAAAAAAAAAAAAAAAAAAAUACAAAAUUAGCCAGGUGUGGUGGCACAUGCCUGUAAUCCCAGCUACUCCGGAGGCUGAGGCAGAAAUUGCUUGAACCUGGGAGGCAGAGAUUGCGGUGAGCCGAGAUUGCGGUGAGCCGAGACUGCGCCAUUGUACUCCAGCCUGGGCAACAAGGGCAAAACUCCAUCUCAUUAAUUAAAAUAAAAUAAAGCUGCCUCCAUAUAUAGCACACUGUAACCUAACUUAAGAGGGGUGAAAGGAAAAUAAAUAUUGGGGCCCCCAAAAAUCACCAGGCCUAAGGGAAAAGUAAGGCUAGGAACUGCUUAGGGCAAAUCUGCCUCGCAUCUAUCCAGUUUCCACUCUGCUCACUGAGCUAAAUGCCGAUCUGAUUGCCUCCUUUGGAGAGGCUAAGCAGAAACGCAAAGAACGCAAUCAUUGUGUCUUACCCACCUACGACCCGGAAGCCUCCAGCUGUCUUACCUUUGCUUGAGUUGUCCUGCCUUUCCCGACCGAAUGUUCAUCUUCCAUAUGCUGACUGAUGUCCACUGUGUCCUUAAAAUGUAUAAAACUGGGGCCGGGCGCAGUGGAUCAAGCCUGUAAUCCCAGCACUUUGGGAGGCCAAGGCGGGUGGAUCCCGAGGUCAAGAGAUCGAGACCAUCCUGGUCAACAUGGUAAAACCCCGUGUCUACUAAAAAUACAAAAAUUAGCUGGGCAUGGUGGCGCGUGCCUGUAGUCCCAGCUACUCAGGAGGCUGAGGCAGGAGAAUUGCCUGAACCCAGGAGGCGGAGGUUGCGGUGAGCCAAGAUCGUGCCAUUGCACUCCAGCCUGGGUAAUGAGAGCGAAACUCUGUCUCAUUAAAAAAAAAAACAAAAAAAAAACGUAUAAAAGCAAACUAUGCUCUGACCACCUUGGGGACAUGUCGUGGGGGCAGCCUGAGGCUGUGUUAUAGGCACCUGACCUCAACCUUGGCAAAUAAACUUUCUAGAUUAACUGAGACCUGUCUCAAAUAUGUGGGGUUCACAUAGAUAAACAAAAAAAACCCGCAACCUGAACUGAGAAUAUGCCCCGGUCAUAAGUAGCCCAGCCUCGGCUAAUCACCGCGGUGGAGGUCUUGGCUCCUCACAGUUCACGAGCUGCCAAAACAUGUUCAGCGAAGGAAACUGCAGGGCUGCAACCGACAGGCUGUUUCUGCCUGAAACGUACAUUUUCUGGCUAUCAAUAUUCCCCGCCCACUUGUGGAGCAGUGAUUUCUGAAGCAUUUUUGGUUCUCAGUGCUACCUGGUUCACGAAUCUUUUUUCUGUUCAACUAAACUGUCAAAUGUAGUCCUAAGGCUUUUCUCUUGAACAGUAUACAUAUAUCACACAUCACAUUGUACUACAAAAACGUAAUUCACUGUGUGACAUGGUAAAAGCCCCAUAAAACUGCUCACCUCAACCAUACCUCCGCUUUCUAUUGAAACUGCUCUCCGUAACCCAAAUGUGACAGGCAAGCAGUCCAAACCCACGCCACCUUGGCCCCUGCGACUUGUAAUAAGUAAUUAAGGUCUAUGAUUUCCACCCUACCCAGACAGUGUGUAAACAAAUGUUAAUCUUGCCUUUUAUGAACCACUUAAGUACCAAUCAGAACGUCAAGUCCCCUGGCCCUCAGAGUGUCCAGAGCCCCUCACCCUCAUCUUCACCCAGGAAUCCACUGGAAUGUCCGGAGCCCCUCAGCCUCAUCUCCACCCAGGAGGUGAUUAACAGAAUCCACUAGCCCUCAGAACAUCUGAAGCCCCUCAGCCUCAUCUCCGCCCAGGAGGUGAUUAACAGAAUCCACUAGACCUCAGAACAUCUGAAGCCCCUCACCCUCACUCCCGAGGUGAUUUUACGGGUAUAAAAGGUCUUGAUACCCACCUUUCGGGGCCAUGAGUUGGAGAGACUCGAGUCCUCUGUGGCCCCUGGCAAUACACACCCUGCAAUUUGGCAUACUUUUGUCUUGGUGUUGACUUUCUAUGCUCGGGCCAGUACAACAACUGUGAUUUAUAAAUUUCCAAUAGUCUAUAUAUUUUUUGAGACAGAGACACCUCUGUCACCCAGGCUGGAGUGCAGUGGCACCAUCAUGGUUCACUGAACCUCAAACUCCUGGGCUCAAGCAAUCCUCUCACCUCAGCCUCCUAAGUAGCUGGAAACAAACGUGCAAGCCACCAUGCCCAGCUAAUUGUUUUUUAAUUAUUGUAGAGAUGAGGGUCUCACUGUGUCGCCCAGACUGGUCUCGAACUCCUGGUCUCAGUGUAUCCUCCUGUGUGAUCCUCCCACCUCAGCCUCCGGAAGAACUGGGAUUACAGGUGUGAGCCACCACACCUGGCCCAAAAAUAGUAUAUCAUUUCUUUUAAACACUAGAUGAUUUUUUUCAGCUUUUAUUUUAGAAUCAGAGGGUACGUGCGCAGGUGAGUUACAAAGGUAUAUUGCGUGAAACUGAGGUGUGGGGUAUGCCUGAACCCAUCAAGGGGAUAUUUUGGUUGUCAACUACCUGAAAAAAAAUUUUCCUUUCCACUCAACAGCUGCAGCACUAUUUUAAAACAUGAAAAUGUAACAAUAAGGGUUAAACAAAUUUUGACAAAUUUAUAAAAUGGAAUACUAUGGUGACAUUAAAACAUUUUAGACUGUUUAAUCAAGAUAGGGAAAAUGCAUACUUUCCUGGG